UACGAAGGGGGCUAGCGUUGCUCGGAAUCACUGGGCGUAAAGCGCACGUAGGCGGCUUGUUAAGUCAGGGGUGAAAUCCUGGAGCUCAACUCCAGAACUGCCUUUGAUACUGGCGAGCUUGAGUUCGGGAGAGGUGAGUGGAACUGCGAGUGUAGAGGUGAAAUUCGUAGAUAUUCGCAAGAACACCAGUGGCGAAGGCGGACUUACUGGUCCGGUUCUGACGCUGAGGUGCGAAAGCGUGGGGAGCAAACAGGG
rnacentral:rRNA from 1 species